rnacentral:rRNA from 1 species
CCUUGUACACACCGCCCGUCAAGCCAUGGAAGCUGGGUGUACCUAAAGUCGAUAGCCGCAAGGAGGCAGCCGGCCACGGUAGGGUCAGCGACUGGGGUG